rnacentral:rRNA from 1 species
UACGUAGGGUGCGAGCGUUAAUCGGAAUUACUGGGCGUAAAGCGUGCGCAGGCGGUUCGUUGUGUCGGUGGUGAAAUCCCCGGGCUUAACCUGGGAAUGGCCAUGGAAACUGGCGAACUGGAGUGCGGCAGAGGGGGGUGGAAUUCCGCGUGUAGCAGUGAAAUGCGUAGAGAUGCGGAGGAACACCGACGGCGAAGGCAGCUCGCUGGGACGGUACUGACGCUGAGGCGCGAAAGCGUGGGGAGCGAACAGG